UCGGAUUGCAGGCUGCAACCCGCCCUGCAUGAAGCUGGAAUCGCUAGUAAUCGCGGAUCAGAAUGCCGCGGUGAAUACGUUCCCGGGUCUUGUACACACCGCCCGUCACACCAUGGGAGUCGGUAACGCCCGAAGUCAGUGACCCAACCGGAAGGAGGGAGCUGCCGAAGGCGGGACUGGUAACUGGGGUGAAGUCGUAACAAGGUAAC
rnacentral:rRNA from 1 species